AAUACAGUUACCAUAGAAGCUGUUGUUGAAGGUGGGCCAGUGUGGUACCUGUCCCUGCAGAGUAUUGCCUGACAACUUUGGACACUGAACUUUUUGCAGAGUUUAGCUCUGUCUAGGAUUAUGGAUAGAAUGUCAGAGAUGAAAGGCAUUUUGAGAGUCUUUGGUUUGGGUUGAGUUCGACCAUUUAAAGAUGGUGAUAUUCAACUGUUUUUGAUCUACAAAAAUAGCAGUUUCAUAUGGCUCAACCUAAUAGUUACCAUUCAUUCCAAGUACUUGGCACCAAGGCUCAGAAAGCGAAUGGAAAGAGAUUCUUGAGAAAGGCGACCCACACACGCGCACAAGAAAACAUCAGCACUCAUGCAGGAACAACGAGAGGCCAUAGGGAAGUAUUUUUAGCAAGUGGAAGUCAAUCACAGCAGGGAGAGAAGAGGGGUGGGUAAAGAAGGGGCCUGGAGCCUCGCAAGUAAGCCCAGAGCCCUGCAGUGGAAGCCACCUAAACCAACACCAUUCUCCCUCAUCCCGUGCCUCGCCAGGAUCGCUUGGAAUGCCACUGGAGAGGCAAGAUGGUUUUAGAAACAGGAAAUUGGAAGUGUUCUGCUUAAAAUGCUUCAGGCUCUGUGUGAGAGAGAAAGAGAGGGUCUGUGUGUCGAUAAGAGGAGUGCUUGUGUGGACGCUCCCAGGUCGGCUUGCGGGCAGCUGGGCGGCAUCAGGCGGGCCUGGCCUUGUUGACUGCUCUCAUCAACAAAGGCUCGCUUGUUUUGCUAGCCAUUUUCCUUGCAUUUCAGAACCAAGGGUCCUUUCUUCUUUUUUCUUCUCUUGCAUCAGAGAAAGCUGUUGUGUGCGGAUGCUCAGGAAGGUAAACAUAUGCAUUUUAAUAUCUGUGGCUCCCCCACAGUCAGUGAGCUAUUUCCUCCACCCAGGUGGAAAGAGGAUAGCGGGCCUCUCUGACAUGCUGGUUAGUCUGAAAACAGACCGCUAAAUGCGUAAUGAAGAGCCUCCGAGGAGUCAAUCUGCAUGUUAAAAUGGUGUUCAGCAGCCCGGGCUGUCACACAACAUAACUUGAAGAUGAAUGUGCAUCCAAUCAGACGGCCAAUCGCUGACUGGGAGGGUCCUGGCUAUUAGGAUUACCUGACUGCUCGGUGGCAGUGGGGUUUCCAAGGGGCCACAAGUUAACCAGCACCCCCCAAAUCUGUGACAAGACAAAUGAGCCCUCUCUUGGGCAUCCCCAGAUUUGCAUGGUCAGAAUGAUGCCGAGAGACAGUCUGAACCAGAGAGGAACAGUUAAAGAAGCGGGUAUUGAUCCCAACAGAAAGACACAGGGCUUUCAGCACGUUGGAGUCCAGGGGCUGGAAGCGAUAACAAAGGAAAAUGUUCAGCUUGACACUUGGAAGCAGAAAGGCAGGUUCUGAGCAGCCCCACACCAGCAGGUACUACCUGCCAUAAGGUUUGUGUUGCAGCCACUGCAGUCACUGCUGCUGCCACCACAACUACAGUUCAUAGCCAGUAACAGCCUUCACAUGAAUGAUGUGUAGACACCACUUUUGUCUCUGAACGCUUGACAACAAUUAGGACCUGACUCCAGGAGCAGGACGUCACAGGAACACCGGAAUACUGGAGAAAUGAGGUUAGAGCAAAGAAAUUAGCCAUCUGCCUGGUGAAGACUGUGUCCUCGAGGUAGCAUUUACAUAGGAACAACAGGCAACACGUAUCCAUUUUCAUUAUCCUGUGCUACAGAUAGACAGAGGACAAAAGGGCUUUAAGAACCGUGUUUUCUUUAAGGCCCCUGUACUUAGCGAGGCUGUAUGUCCUUUUUUCCCCUUCAUUCAAAAUGCCUGCUGGAGCUGCAGCUAAAUGACAAGCCCUGGGGAAGGAUUCCUAUCAGCUGGAAGUUUUAUGCAUUGCUCCUUUUUUGAGGUUCCCAAACACUGAAAAUAGGCAGCCUAAAGCCAAAUUUGGAGCAUAGGAAAGGGCAGCAAAUACAAUUGUAAGGCUCUACUUUGAAUGUUGCAAAUCUCCAUCUGAAAGAUGGAGGGAAAAAAUAUUUUUAGGUGAAAGGUGAUUCCCAAAUUGAGCCCCAAAGAUGUUCCAGCAGCUCAGAGCUGUGGGGUUGACAUCAGAGGCCUCCUGUCUUAAGUGAAGCCUCACCCAUAGACAUUGCAGGUUCUGGGUGCGCACACCACUAGCUCUGGCCAGCUCCUCGGCAGUAAAGAAGCUCAGUUUGCAGUUGAUCCUUGGCUGAACUUUGCCAUUCAUUACAGGACAACCAAAAGGGGCACCAGGAAGGCCCACCUCCAUUUAGCAUGUCUAUUGCCCUCCUAAGAGCCCUGUUAAAGUGGGGAAAGCCACUUUUCUACAUAUAUAUAUCAGCUAACACUUUUAUCUUUGUGUCCAUGUAAACUGUUAAUAUUAGUUUCACCAUGCCAGCUUGAUCAAAAAGUCAGUCCCAGCACAGUGGCUCACACCUGUAAUCCUAGCACUUUGGGAGGCUGAGGUGGGAGGACUGGUUGAGGCCAGAAGUUUAAGACCAGCCCGGGCAACAUAGUGAGACCCCCAUCUUUACCAAAACAAUAUUUUAAACUAGUUGGGCAUGGUAGUGAGCUCCUAUAGUCCAAGCUACUCGAGAGGCUGAGGCAGGAAGACUGCUUGAGUGCAGAAGUUUGAGGCUGCAGUGAACUAUCAUUGUGCCACUACACUCCAGACUGAGUAACAAAGUGAGACCUUGUCUCUAAAAAAAUCAUAAUAAAAAGUCAGUGAAAGUAUU
rnacentral:lncRNA from 1 species